rnacentral:rRNA from 1 species
UACGUAGGGUGCGAGCGUUGUCCGGAAUUACUGGGCGUAAAGAGCUCGUAGGCGGUUUGUCGCGUCUGCUGUGAAAACUGGAGGCUCAACCUCCAGCCUGCAGUGGGUACGGGCAGACUAGAGUGUGGUAGGGGAGACUGGAAUUCCUGGUGUAGCGGUGAAAUGCGUAGAUAUCGUGAGGAACACCAGAGGCGAAGGCGGUUUCCUGGACAGUUACUGACGCUCAGGCACGAAGGCAUGGGGAGCAAAAGGG